AAGGUCCCUGAGGUUUGCUGUCACAGUUGGCUGUUUGGCAGGGAUCUGACCUGUCAUUUGGAAGAACAAGGUUCUUAAAUUCCAGAGGUCAUCUGGGAAUAGUGUCCAAGCAUUCCCAGUUUCCUUCCCUAGAGAUCAAACUCAGGGCCUUGUGCACUCGAGGCAAAUGAACCAAAGACCUGUGACCAGAGAAAUGCUCAGACAGACAUAGCAAGGCCUGCCCUGUGGUCACUAGAAGCAGACACACACCAGGAAGGUUAAGAAGGCUUGACCUGACGAAAGAACAGAACUCCCAGCUACCUCCCCAGCACCUGCAUGCCACCUUGCUUCCUGACAUGACCAUAAUGGAUGAAACCUCUGAAACUGUAAGCCAGCCCCAAUUAAAUGCUUUCUUUUAUAAGAGUUGUCAUAGUCAUACUACAUUUUUGACACGGUGACAAAAUAUAGUAAUCUGCAAAGCUCAUGCUCACACAAUAGGG
rnacentral:lncRNA from 1 species